UACGGGGGGGGCAAGCGUUGUUCGGAAUUACUGGGCGUAAAGGGCUCGUAGGCGGCCAACUAAGUCAGACGUGAAAUCCCUCGGCUUAACCGGGGAACUGCAUCUGAUACUGGAUGGCUUGAGUUCGGGAGAGGGAUGCGGAAUUCCAGGUGUAGCGGUGAAAUGCGUAGAUAUCUGGAGGAACACCGGUGGCGAAGGCGGGUCUCUGGGCCGUAACUGACGCUGAGGAGCGAAAGCGUGGGGAGCGAACAGG
rnacentral:rRNA from 1 species